CCCGGGCGCAGGAGGCCGCAGGGUCCUCUAGGAAGCGGCGUUGGGAAUGAGAAGGCCAGCCGCGCCCCGCGGAGGAUUCUGGGAGUGGUAGUUCGACCUCAUGGUUGGCCGGCGCUAGGCGUCCCCGCCGGCUGUUAGAUUCCUUUGUCGUCGGGCUCGGCUUCCUCAGUGUGUGGCUGGAGGUCGAACCCAGGGUGGAGGAGGGCUGAACGCAUCCCCUUUUAAUCUGAGUGCCCGGGAGGAGGGUGGCGGGAGGACCCCCGGGUGGGGGCGCGAGGCCGCCCGCGCGUGCAUUCCCGGCCUCUUGGGGGACCCGAGCGGCGAACCCCAGGCCCCUUCCCUUGCCGCGGUUGCCUCCAGCGCGGGCCAGAGGAAGGAGUCUCCAUGGAACCUGGGGGCAGAGGAUCACUUUUUGAGGACUCAGACCUUCUCCAUGCUGGAAACCCAAAAGAAAAUGAUGUGACUGCUAUGCUGCUGACCCCUGGGUCCCAAAGGCAAAUGAAGGCCCCAUGAAGGUUUUUAGAGGCCCAGCAAGAUGAAACAUGCCAUAGCUGAUUGGAGAGAGAAGAUUAGUAAAGAUGCUUCUGUAAGAUCUGGCCAAGACAGUGGGAGAUUGGCAGACCCUUUGGUUCAGGUGCUGGGUCUCUUUAUUUCCGUCACACCAGGCAUACAG